rnacentral:rRNA from 1 species
UGAGGAAUAUUGGACAAUGGGUGAGAGCCUGAUCCAGCCAUCCCGCGUGAAGGAUGACGGUCCUAUGGAUUGUAAACUUCUUUUGUACAGGGAUAAACCUACUCUCGUGAGGGUAGCUGAAGGUACUGUACGAAUAAGCACCGGCUAACUCCGAGCCAGCAGCCGCGGUAAUACGGAGGGUGCAAGCGUUAUCCGGAUAUAUUGGGUUUAAAGGGUCCGUAGGCGGACUUGUAAGUCAGUGGUGAAAUCUCAUAGCUUAACUAUGAAACUGCCAUUGAUACUGCAGGUCUUGAGUAAAUUUGAAGUGGCUGGAAUAAGUAGUGUAGCGGUGAAAUGCAUAGAUAUUACUUAGAACACCAAUUGCGAAGGCAGGUCACUAAGAUUUAACUGACGCUGAUGGACGAAAGCGUGGGGAGCGAACA